GGCGGACCGUGGCGGCGUGGGUGAAGCCCCAGCUGUUGGAGCGUCUCCUGCAUCUGUCCCUGGCCUAAACCCGACGCUAGGCUGGAGGAAGCGACUGCGGGCCGGGCUGGCGGGGACUGGGGCCUCGUUGUGGUUCGUGGCGGGGCUGGGGCUGCUUUACGCUCUGAGGAUCCCUUUGAGGCUGUGUGAGAAUUUGGCAGCGGAUAUUUGAAUGGUGGUACUUCCAUAAGCAUGGCACAUCUUUUAUUGAGCAAGUAUCUGUAAGCCAUUUGCAACCACUGAUGGGAGGAACAGAGAGCAGCAUUUCAGAACCAGGUUCUCCUUCGAGGAACAGAGAAAAUGAAACCAGCAGACAGAAUUUGUCAGGUGACUACUUUUCUAAUGUGUUUUCAGAGCUGUGUAUUUAAGAUUGAGUUUGGCUCUGGGAGAUAGAAAACUCAAAACAGCAGAGUGCUGUGGUGUGCAUGUUUGUGUUUCCCCCAAAAUUCUAAUCACCAAUGUGAUGUUACGAGGUAGGGUCUUUGGGAGGUGAUCAGGUCAUGAGGGCAGUGCCCUCAGGGAUGUGAUGAAUGCCCUUAUGAGAGACCCCAGAGAGCUGCUUGCCACUUCUACCGUGGCAGGACACCACGAGAAGGCGCCGUCUGUGAACCAGAAAGCAGACCCUCACCAGACACCAAAUCUGUUGGUACCUUGGUCAUAGACUUCCCAGCCUCCAGAACUGUUAAAAAUAAAUUUAUACUGUUUAUAAUCUA
rnacentral:sRNA from 1 species